CGGGGCGUAGCGCAGUCUGGUAGCGCACCUGCUUUGGGAGCAGGGGGUCCCAAGUUCGAAUCUUGGCGCCCCGACCA
rnacentral:tRNA from 1 species